GAUGAAGAACGUAGCGAAAUGCGAUAAGUAAUGUGAAUUGCAGAAUUCAGUGAAUCAUCGAAUCUUUGAACGCACAUUGCGCCCCUUGGUAUUCCGAGGGGCAUGCCUGUUCGAGCGUCAUUAUAACCCCUCAAGCUCAGCUUGGUGUUGGGGCCUGCUGCACUGGCAGCCCUUAAAAUCAGUGGCGGCGCCAUCUGGCUCUAAGCGUAGUAAUACUCCUCGCGACAGAGUCCCGGCGGUGUCCUGCCAGAACCCCCCAUCUUUUUAAUGAUUGACCUCGGAUCAGGUAGGGAUACCCGCUGAACUUAAGCAUAUCAAGCGGAGGA
rnacentral:misc_RNA from 1 species